rnacentral:rRNA from 1 species
CCUACGGGUGGCAGCAGUGGGGGAUAUUGCACAAUGGGGGGAACCCUGAUGCAGCGACGCCGCGUGGGUGAAGGAGUGCUUCGGCAUGUAAAGCCCUAUCGGCAGGGAAGAAGCAAGACGGUACCUGACUAAGAAGCCCCGGCUAACUACGUGCCAGCAGCCGCGGUAAUACGUAGGGGGCGAGCGUUAUCCGGAUUCACUGGGUGUAAAGGGAGCGUAGACGGUGAUGUAAGUCUGGAGUGAAAGGCGGGGGCCCAACCCCCGGACUGCUCUGGAAACUAUGUGACUGGAGUGCAGGAGAGGUGAGCAGAAUUCCUAGUGUAGCGGUGAAAGGCGUAGAUAUUAGGAGGAACACCAGUGGCGAAGGCGGCUCACUGGACUGUAACUGACGUUGAGGCUCGAAAGCGUGGGGAGCAAACAGGAUUAGAUACCCUGGUAGUC